rnacentral:rRNA from 1 species
GACGAACGCUGGCGGCGUGCCUAAUACAUGCAAGUAGAACGCUCAGGCGAGGAGCUUACUCUUCUUGGAUGAGUUGCGGACGGGUGAGUAACGCGUAGGUAACCUGCCUUGUAGCGGGGGAUAACUAUUGGAAACGAGAGCUAAUACCGCAUAACAUUGGAUGCCACAUGUCAUAUAUUUGAAAGGCGCAAUUGCUCCACUACAAGAUGGACCUGCGUUGUAUUAGCUAGUAGGUGAGGUAAUGGCUUACCUAGGCGACGAUACAUAGCCGACCGGAGAGGGGGAUCGGCCACACUGGAACUGAGACACGGUCCAGACUCCUACGGGAGGCAGCAGUAGGGAAUCUUCGGCAAUGGGGGCAAGCCUGACGGAGCAACGCCGCGUGAGUGAAGAAGGUCUUCGGAUCGUAAAGCUCUGUUGUUAGGCAAGAACGAGUGUGUAAGUGGAUAGGCCACUCUGGGAGGGAAGCUUACAAGAAGCGGACGCCAAACUAGGU